rnacentral:lncRNA from 1 species
UAUAAGUUAUAUAAAUAUUGCAAUUAGAAAUUAACUAUUUAAAACUAAAUUAACUAUAGAAUUUCAUUUAGUAAAUGUAUAGUUAAAACUGAAUCUGCUCUGCCAUACAUGGGAAAAUACAGUAAUGGAUACAAUAUAUUGGAGUCUAUAAUCCUCACAAUUGAUAAAUCAACAUACGAAUCAAGCCCACUACUGAUAUUAUAUAACUUCGGCCAAUCCUUAGAAAAUUCAUCGCCCAUUUAUCUUCAUUUAAACAGACUUAACGGGAUGCCCAUUUGUCUGGGAAUUGAUGAUUCAUCUACUACACAAUGGCAUCUCGAUAAUUGCGCUUGCAGAAUAAUACGUCGCCUGUGGCUUGUGAUAGUUUUCCUCAAUGGGUUAAAAUAGACUUCGAAAUCGUUCGGUUAGAUUCAUUGAAAACUGUUCGUCUCUUUCUCAUGUUCAAAUUUUUAUCAGUCGGGAUAUUAAUAAUUUCCUCUUAACUAGAGAUCUUAAGAUCUAAUAAACGAAUUUAUUGCGGAUUUAUAUCAGUAUUUAAUAGAAUAAUUUUUGUAAAUAUUUUCGUUAAUGAGGAUGAUAAGAUGUUCGAUAAAAUAUUGUUUAAUACGUCUAUCUAUUUAGAAGAAAUAAAUUAAUAAAAAAUGGCGAGUUAUAAAGUAAUGGAAGC